ACGCACGCUGGCGGCAGGCCUAACACAUGCAAGUCGAGCGCCCCGCAAGGGGAGCGGCGGACGGGUGAGUAACGCGUGGGAAUAUGCCCUUUGCUACGGAAUAGUCUCGGGAAACUGGGGGUAAUACCGUAUACGCCCUUUGGGGGAAAGAUUUAUCGGCGAAGGAUUAGCCCGCGUUGGAUUAGGUAGUUGGUGGGGUAAUGGCCUACCAAGCCGACGAUCCAUAGCUGGUUUGAGAGGAUGAUCAGCCACACUGGGACUGAGACACGGCCCAGACUCCUACGGGAGGCAGCAGUGGGGAAUCUUAGACAAUGGGGGCAACCCUGAUCUAGCCAUGCCGCGUGAGUGAUGAAGGCCUUAGGGUUGUAAAGCUCUUUCAGCUGGGAAGAUAAUGACGGUACCAGCAGAAGAAGCCCCGGCUAACUCCGUG
rnacentral:rRNA from 1 species